AACGAACGCUGGCGGCNCGGCUUAACACAUGCAAGUCGAGCGCCCCGCAAGGGGAGCGGCGGACGGGUGAGUAACACGUGGGAACAUGCCCUUUGGUUCGGAACAACUCAGGGAAACUUGAGCUAAUACCGAAUGUGCCGGUAACGGGAAAGAUUUAUCGCCAAGGGAUUGGCCCGCGUCCGAUUAGCUAGUUGGUGAGGUAAAGGCUCACCAAGGCUCCGAUCGGUAGCUGGUUUGAGAGAACGACCAGCCACACUGGGACUGAGACACGGCCCAGACUCCUACGGGAGGCAGCAGUGGGGAAUCUUGGACAAUGGGGGAAACCCUGAUCCAGCCAUGCCGCGUGAGCGAUGAAGGCCUUCGGGUUGUAAAACUCUUUCGACGGGGACGAUAAUGACGGUACCCGUAGAAGAAGCUCCGGCUAACUUCGUGCCAGCAGCCGCGGUAAUACGAAGGGGGCUAGCGUUGUUCGGAAUUACUGGGCGUAAAGCGCGCGCAGGCGGCUCUUCAAGUCAGGGGUGAAAGCCCAGAGCUCAACUCUGGAACUGCCCUUGAAACUGUGGAGCUUGAGUACGGUAGAGGUGAGUGGAAUUCCCAGUGUAGAGGUGAAAUUCGUAGAUAUUGGGAAGAACACCGGUGGCGAAGGCGGCUCACUGGACCGUUUCUGACGCUCAUGCGCGACAGCGUGGGGAUCAAACAGGAUUAGAUACCCUGGUAGUCCACGCCGUAAACGAUGGACGCUAGCCGUUGGCAGGCUUGCCUGUCAGUGGCGCAGCUAACGCAUUAAGCGUCCCGCCUGGGGAGUACGGCCGCAAGGUUG
rnacentral:rRNA from 1 species